rnacentral:lncRNA from 1 species
CUUUUGGAAACUGGCCACGUACUCCCGCUGCCUUUUCCCUCCCAACCUCGGGGUUGGGGGGAGCCGGGACCACAUCCAGGGCAGAUACCACACCCUCCUUUUGUGCGGUCUUCUCCCUAUAGAAUGUUCCGUUUCUCUCUGACUGGAUGCCCAUCUGUGUACCCUACAAGUGAGCUGUCAGAACCUCAUCCAGGCCCGCUAUGCUGCUACCUCAUUUUCUCGGCCCCAGUGUUCACCUUCUGCUGUGGGUGGGGCCCGCAGGGGACACCGCCAACAGACAAAACUCCAGAUGAUUCUGUAUCUCUGAAAAAACCAGCCAGCCAAAGGGCGUCCGGGGCGAAUUUCUGAAGGACUGUCGGAUAGAAGAGAGCACACUAGCUCCAUCGAUCUCAUUAUAAGUAAGCCAGGCCAAAGGACAGUUUAUGGCUGAAUGACUGACUGGCCCGGAAGCAUUAAUGUACCUCUUGUGUCUGACAUCUCUGGUGCUUGUCAGCCUCCCUGAGUGAUGCAGGACACACAACCUGUGCUAAAUUGCUUUGCCCUUAGGCCAGGGCCUUUGGGGGCCCGGGACCAGAGGAGCACUAGUCACAUCAAGACAGUGGGAACUGUCCAAGCGGCCGCCAAAUUCUACCACACGAGGAACCUCCGGAUUUCCCUCUGCAUCAUGUGAGAGCGUGGGGCCGUACUCACUUGCUGCCUGUCUACUGAACUGGAAAUCCAUUGCUGUCUUCAUCCUGACUCAUCUCCACAGAACUUUAUCUAGAGGCCCGAGCCUGGGCAGCCUUCCCCUCCCCCUCCUAGCCUCAGCUCCCUCUCAUGCAUUGUCUUUUCCUUUAGAGUGGAAACUCCUUGAGGUCAGGGAAUCUCUUCCUGCUUGGUUUUUGUAUUGCCAGUGCUUAGCACACGGUGAGUUCUUAAGAAAUGUGUGUUGACUGCUGAAUUCACCUUAGGUUCUCUUGGCACAGGAUUUCUUAAGGAAGUUGGAUCUAGAGUCUCUCUAGAAAAAGAAUUAGCCAAUGGGGAAUGUGAAGAACCCUCCAAGACCCCUGGGACAAGUAUUCUGUGCCUACAAUUAGAGUAGUCAGAGGGGGAGAAACUUUAGAGAUGACCUCGUCCUAAUCUCCCUUUGACCCCAGAUUUAGGGUCAGAUCCCAGGAUCUUGCACUGGAAGGACCCUUAGAGAGCCCAGAGUUCAACUCUCCCUGACUCCUCCCUGUGGACUCUCUGCUGUGUUCGAUGCCACUGUCAACGGCUUUUGCCAACAUAUGAUAUGGUAUCUCCCACCUCUGACCUUUGUAGAUUGUCUUCCUUGCCAAGAGAACACUCUUUAAAAAGUUGUUUUCAUUUUGUUUUUAUUUUUGUUGACUGUUUAUUAUAUAUUAUUUUUAUAAUUUAUUAUAAAUUUAUUUUUAUAAGUUUAUUCUCUCUCCCUCCCACUGCCCCCUCCCCCAAUAAAGAGCAAUUCAAAAACA